rnacentral:rRNA from 1 species
AGUAGACGUUCAGAGUUUGAUCCUGGCUCAGGAUGAACGCUAGCGGCAGGCUUAACACAUGCAAGUCGAGGGGCAGCAUGAUAGGUAGCAAUACUUAUUGAUGGCGACCGGCGCAAGGGUGCGUAACGCGUGAGUAACAUGCCCGUAUCAGGAGGAUAACCCGGAGAAAUCCGGACUAAUACUGCAUAGUAUCGAUUUGAGGCACCUUGGAUUGAUUAAAGUUUCGACGGAUACGGAUUGGCUCGCGUGACAUUAGCUAGAUGGUAAGGUAACGGCUUACCAUGGCGACGAUGUCUAGGGGUUCUGAGAGGAAGGUCCCCCACACUGGAACUGAGACACGGUCCAG